rnacentral:rRNA from 1 species
GGAGGGUGCAAGCGUUAAUCGGAAUUACUGGGCGUAAAGCGCACGCAGGCGGUUUGUUAAGUCAGAUGUGAAAUCCCCGGGCUCAACCUGGGAACUGCAUCUGAUACUGGCAAGCUUGAGUCUCGUAGAGGGGGGUAGAAUUCCAGGUGUAGCGGUGAAAUGCGUAGAUAUUAGGAGGAACACCAGUGGCGAAGGCGGCNUUCUGGACGGUAACUGACGUUGAGGCUCGAAAGCGUGGGGAGCAAACAGGAUUAGAUACCCUGGUAGUCCACACCGUAAACGAUGAUUACUAGGUGUUGGAGGAUUGACCCCUUCAGUGCCGCAGUUAACACAAUAAGUAAUCCACCUGGGGAGUACGACCGCAAGGUUGAAACUCAAAGGAAUUGACGG